GUGCUCACUUCAGCAGCACAUAUACUAAAAUUGGAACGAUACAGAGAAGAUUAGCAUGGCCCCUGUGGGGGGGGGGAAUUAAAACACUAUGUUUUAUACAGUAUUUAU